GAUCCUGGCUCAGGAUAAACGCUGGCGGCGCACAUAAGACAUGCAAGUCGAACGAACUUAACCAUUAGUUUACUAUUGGAGCGGGUUAGUGGCGGACUGGUGAGUAACACGUAAGCAACCUGCCUAUCAGAGGGGAACAACAGUUAGAAAUGACUGCUAAUACCGCAUAUGCCUUAGAAUCACAUGGUUCAAAAAGGGAAAGGAGCAAAUCCGCUGAUAGAUGGGCUUGCGU
rnacentral:rRNA from 1 species